rnacentral:rRNA from 1 species
GGGUUGUGAGGUUAAGCGACUAAGCGUACACGGUGGAUGCCCUGGCAGUCAGAGGCGAUGAAGGACGUGCUAAUCUGCGAUAAGCGUCGGUAAGGUGAUAUGAACCGUUAUAACCGGCGAUUUCCGAAUGGGGAAACCCAGUGUGUUUCGACACACUAUCAUUAACUGAAUCCAUAGGUUAAUGAGGCGAACCGGGGGAACUGAAACAUCUAAGUACCCCGAGGAAAAGAAAUCAACCGAGAUUCCCCCAGUAGCGGCGAGCGAACGGGGAGGAGCCCAGAGCCUGAAUCAGUGUGUGUGUUAGUGGAAGCGUCUGGAAAGGCGCGCGAUACAGGGUGACAGCCCCGUACACAAAAAUGCACAUGCUGUGAGCUCGAUGAGUAGGGCGGGACACGUGGUAUCCUGUCUGAAUAUGGGGGGACCAUCCUCCAAGGCUAAAUACUCCUGACUGACCGAUAGUGAACCAGUACCGUGAGGGAAAGGCGAAAAGAACCCCGGCGAGGGGAGUGAAAAAGAACCUGAAACCGUGUACGUACAAGCAGUGGGAGCACGCUUAGGCGUGUGACUGCGUACCUUUUGUAUAAUGGGUCAGCGACUUAUAUUCUGUAGCAAGGUUAACCGAAUAGGGGAGCCGAAGGGAAACCGAGUCUUAACUGGGCGUUAAGUUGCAGGGUAUAGACCCGAAACCCGGUGAUCUAGCCAUGGGCAGGUUGAAGGUUGGGUAACACUAACUGGAGGACCGAACCGACUAAUGUUGAAAAAUUAGCGGAUGACUUGUGGCUGGGGGUGAAAGGCCAAUCAAACCGGGAGAUAGCUGGUUCUCCCCGAAAGCUAUUUAGGUAGCGCCUCGUGAAUUCAUCUCCGGGGGUAGAGCACUGUUUCGGCAAGGGGGUCAUCCCGACUUACCAACCCGAUGCAAACUGCGAAUACCGGAGAAUGUUAUCACGGGAGACACACGGCGGGUGCUAACGUCCGUCGUGAAGAGGGAAACAACCCAGACCGCCAGCUAAGGUCCCAAAGUCAUGGUUAAGUGGGAAACGAUGUGGGAAGGCCCAGACAGCCAGGAUGUUGGCUUAGAAGCAGCCAUCAUUUAAAGAAAGCGUAAUAGCUCACUGGUCGAGUCGGCCUGCGCGGAAGAUGUAACGGGGCUAAACCAUGCACCGAAGCUGCGGCAGCGACGCUUAUGCGUUGUUGGGUAGGGGAGCGUUCUGUAAGCCUGUGAAGGUGUGCUGUGAGGCAUGCUGGAGGUAUCAGAAGUGCGAAUGCUGACAUAAGUAACGAUAAAGCGGGUGAAAAGCCCGCUCGCCGGAAGACCAAGGGUUCCUGUCCAACGUUAAUCGGGGCAGGGUGAGUCGACCCCUAAGGCGAGGCCGAAAGGCGUAGUCGAUGGGAAACAGGUUAAUAUUCCUGUACUUGGUGUUACUGCGAAGGGGGGACGGAGAAGGCUAUGUUGGCCGGGCGACGGUUGUCCCGGUUUAAGCGUGUAGGCUGGUUUUCCAGGCAAAUCCGGAAAAUCAAGGCUGAGGCGUGAUGACGAGGCACUACGGUGCUGAAGCAACAAAUGCCCUGCUUCCAGGAAAAGCCUCUAAGCAUCAGGUAACAUCAAAUCGUACCCCAAACCGACACAGGUGGUCAGGUAGAGAAUACCAAGGCGCUUGAGAGAACUCGGGUGAAGGAACUAGGCAAAAUGGUGCCGUAACUUCGGGAGAAGGCACGCUGAUAUGUAGGUGAAGCGACUUGCUCGUGGAGCUGAAAUCAGUCGAAGAUACCAGCUGGCUGCAACUGUUUAUUAAAAACACAGCACUGUGCAAACACGAAAGUGGACGUAUACGGUGUGACGCCUGCCCGGUGCCGGAAGGUUAAUUGAUGGGGUCAGCGCAAGCGAAGCUCUUGAUCGAAGCCCCGGUAAACGGCGGCCGUAACUAUAACGGUCCUAAGGUAGCGAAAUUCCUUGUCGGGUAAGUUCCGACCUGCACGAAUGGCGUAAUGAUGGCCAGGCUGUCUCCACCCGAGACUCAGUGAAAUUGAACUCGCUGUGAAGAUGCAGUGUACCCGCGGCAAGACGGAAAGACCCCGUGAACCUUUACUAUAGCUUGACACUGAACAUUGAGCCUUGAUGUGUAGGAUAGGUGGGAGGCUUUGAAGUGUGGACGCCAGUCUGCAUGGAGCCGACCUUGAAAUACCACCCUUUAAUGUUUGAUGUUCUAACGUUGACCCGUGAUCCGGGUUGCGGACAGUGUCUGGUGGGUAGUUUGACUGGGGCGGUCUCCUCCUAAAGAGUAACGGAGGAGCACGAAGGUUGGCUAAUCCUGGUCGGACAUCAGGAGGUUAGUGCAAUGGCAUAAGCCAGCUUGACUGCGAGCGUGACGGCGCGAGCAGGUGCGAAAGCAGGUCAUAGUGAUCCGGUGGUUCUGAAUGGAAGGGCCAUCGCUCAACGGAUAAAAGGUACUCCGGGGAUAACAGGCUGAUACCGCCCAAGAGUUCAUAUCGACGGCGGUGUUUGGCACCUCGAUGUCGGCUCAUCACAUCCUGGGGCUGAAGUAGGUCCCAAGGGUAUGGCUGUUCGCCAUUUAAAGUGGUACGCGAGCUGGGUUUAGAACGUCGUGAGACAGUUCGGUCCCUAUCUGCCGUGGGCGCUGGAGAACUGAGGGGGGCUGCUCCUAGUACGAGAGGACCGGAGUGGACGCAUCACUGGUGUUCGGGUUGUCAUGCCAAUGGCACUGCCCGGUAGCUAAAUGCGGAAGAGAUAAGUGCUGAAAGCAUCUAAGCACGAAACUUGCCCCGAGAUGAGUUCUCCCUGACUCCUUGAGAGUCCUGAAGGAACGUUGAAGACGACGACGUUGAUAGGCCGGGUGUGUAAGCGCAGCGAUGCGUUGAGCUAACCGGUACUAAUGAACCGUGAGGCUUAACCUUACAACGCCGAAGCUGUU